AUGAAUCUAUGCCUAUUAGCUUCCUGGAUUAAGAGAUAUUUCCUGGAUGAGGGCAAGAUUUGGAAGCAAAUUAUUGAUGCCAAAUAUAGAACUCAUAGCCCUAAUAUUUUUACUAUCCCUAGCAAUGGUGCUUCCCCUUUCUGGAAAGGGAUCCUUUGGGCUACUAAAGCCACUAGAAUGGGGUAUUCCUGGAUAGUCAGUAAUGGCAAUAGUAUUAGAUUCUGGGAAGACCAGUGGAUUGGGCAUACCACUCUUGCUAUCCAAUAUUGGGACUUGUACAAUAUUGCCAAUGACCAGAAUAUUUCUAUCAGUGAAGUGUGGGAUGGCACUAAUCCUAAAAUUACUUUUAGAAGGUGUUUUACCCAAAAAAUGCUGGCUGAUUGGAAUGAUCUGUUCAGUCGGCAGUCGCAUUAUUAA
rnacentral:rRNA from 1 species